AGAGGGGUAGGAACAAGUUUUUGGAAUAAAAGAGGCCCAUGGGUAAGAACAUCUGGCAUCCUGUAUAGGCAGUUCAUUCUGUGUAGUUGAGUUUCCAUGAGUCUGGCCACAUUUGAAGUUCUAGCACCAUCAAUGUACAUCUGGUAUGAAUGUGAAACAGGGCUUUCUCAAUAGCUGAUCACAGAGUUCAGGACUUUAUGCCAAGCAAAGCUUACUUGGCACGUUUUCUAUUGCCCUUCUGCCAGCAAGCAGAGAACUUCCUAUACACACAAACCUUUGGCAAUUGGUCUUGUCUGCUGCUGAAGAUGAUCUGUCUGUCUGGGUGCUGGCUUUGUAGGCAAUCAAGGAUUUGGCUGUCAGUAAAGCAGGUAAAUAAAUGUGGGGAGCGGCAGACUCUCAGCCUCAGAUUGAAUGGACAAACAUCUUGAGCUUAUCUAGCUGAUACAGAAGAUCAUCUAUAUUUGCAUAAACACAAUGAAUCUGAUAACUAUCUGGUUUCAGAAAUAGCUACCCUGUUUCCCCUAAAAUAAGACAUCACCAGAAAAUAAGAUCUAGUAGAGGUUUUGUGAAUUGCUAAAUAUAAGGCCUCCCCUGAAAGUAAGACCUAGCAAAGUUUUUGUUUGGAAGCAUGCCUGCCGAACAGAACACCAGAGCAUGCAGGAUGGAUAAAUGUAUGUAUCAUAUACAUGGAAAUAAUUGUAGUAAUAAGAAAUUCUUGAUAGGAUUCACAGUAGUUGUCAUCACAAACCAGCAUAACCAGACAAACUGUGAAUCCUAUCAAGAAUUUCUUGUUACUACCAAUAUUUCCAUGUACAACAUUCUAUGGUACGUACAUUUACCGAUCCUGCAUGCUCUGGUGUUCUGUUCGGCGGGCAUGCUUCCAAACAAAAACUUUGCUAGGUCUUACUUUCGGGGGAGGCCUUAUAUUUAGCAAUUCAGCAAAACCUCUACUAGGUCUUAUUUUCUGGGGAUGUCUUAUUUUAGGGGAAACAGGGUAGUUAUAAUAAAGAACAAUUA
rnacentral:lncRNA from 1 species